GAGUCCCAUUUGCAGGUAUACGAGUCAGAUGAUACUGACGUCAAGAAAGUGGCUCACAUAUCUCUUGAUCAAGCACAUAGCUCCCUCCAUAUUGAUCCUGGGUAUUGUUUGAAAUGUGGUUCCUAUUGCAACUUUUCAUCUAGGAGUGAAGAAGUUAAAAAAGCUUGGAUUGAUCUCAGAAGGCAGAGGACAUUCUUGCAAAGGCAUUUUGUUUUGUUGAAGAUUUUUCAGUCCGCUAAAGAUUGUCAAUCAUCGAUUGAGGUUGCUGUUUACUAAUCUAAGAAUUCUUUUGGUGGUGUGUAUGCAUAAACUACUUCACACACUUAAGAUUCCAGGAAUCGCAUCACUAGGUUAGGAGGAUCACUGUUCCUCAUUAUUUACAGAAAUUCAAAAACUCUCAAGGAAUUUUAGUCAUUUGGGUAAUUACAAAAUCGAGUGAGUGCAAUAUUUUGUAAAUAUUAUGGACCACAUGCAGCCACUCUAUUUCCUUACCUAUUGGUUCUUGAUAGAGAAAGGUGCCGUGUUAUUAACUGAAAAUGGCAAACCCUUUUCUCUCUCUCAUCAACCAGUAUCCGUUGUUGUUUCUGUAAGCAUUUUUUUGGCAAACUGACACCUCAUAUUUCAGUCAUGCCACCCCCACAAUAUGUUUAU